AAUUUAAAAUUACACAAUUGUGUAAUUGUAAUUUAAAAUUAUAAUUUAAGAAUUAUAUAUAAUUGUAAUAGCCAAUUUUAACCCGGGGCCCAAAUUAACCAAUCAAAUCCAAUAAAACUUGGGCCAAUCCUGACCCAAUUGCAUUUGGCCCAAUAAGGCCCAAGUGUGCUAACCCUAGCCUAACCCUAAGCAGCAGUUAGCAGUAGCCACCCCACGUCGCAGCAACCUCCAGUGCCGUGCACGCCCCACGUUCGGCAGCCUCCCAAACUGUCCCACAUCUUUGCUGGCACGUCCACUCGCAAAACGCUCACACAUUUGCAAGCCACAGACAACACUAAUAGGAUAUACACACAACAAAACAGUUGUAAAAGGAUUUAGGGAGGGCUAUAUAAAGGCCAAUGAUUUUCUGUAACUUGGUUAGAAAAAUUUUGUACUAAAAAGAGAAAAAUAUUGUAUUGUAAAAAUACUGAAAUACAAACAAAGAAUCAAAAACAAUUUUUGAAGGUAAUUUUCUUUGUGUUUUAUUUAUUUAUCUACUUUUUUUUUCUUUGCUUCUCUGUUUUUGGUGCAAAAGAAAAAGCAAAAAGAAAAGGACGAAACUUACCUGAAUCGGAGUCGGCGGCGAAGCUUGAACGGCGGUGGCGUGGCGAUAGUUAGGGCUUUAAAGAAGGCCUAGCAGAUCCCUCUUUCUUCCCUCUGUUGUUUUAAAAAAGAAAAAGGAAGAUGAAGCAAUUUUGCGCCUAUUGCUGCUGCAGAGUAGGCUUUUAAUUGGAGAUGAAAAGGGUUUUAAACACUGAUGGGUUAUUUGCGUUUUUAAUCCUUCAUUUUAUCCCAUCAUUUCAAAAU
rnacentral:lncRNA from 1 species